GUCCUUGCUCCGGCAGCACAUAUACUAAAAUUGGAACGACACAGGGAAGACUAGCAAUGUCCCUGCGUAAUGGUGACACGCAAAUUCGUGAAGCGUUCCCUUGCUCU